UGCCGGUGUAGUUCAAUGGUAGAACUCCUGCUUCCCAAGCAGGCGGCGCGGGUUCGAUUCCCGUCACCGGCUCC
rnacentral:tRNA from 1 species